UAGAACGUCGUGAGACAGUUCGGUCCCUAUCUGCCGUGGGUGUAGGAUACUUGAGAGGAGUUGCCCCUAGUACGAGAGGACCGGGGUGAACGAUCCACUGGUGGAUCUGUUGUGGCGCCAGCCGCAGUGCAGAGUAGCUAUGAUCGGACAGGAUAACCGCUGAAGGCAUCUAAGCGGGAAGCCCCCCUCAAAACAAGGUAUCCCUGAGGACCGUGGUAGACCACCACGUCGAUAGGCCAGAGAUGUAAGCGCUGUAAGGCGUUCAGUUGACUGGUACUAAUUGUCCGAUAGGCUUGAUUUGAUCCAG
rnacentral:rRNA from 1 species